rnacentral:rRNA from 1 species
UACAGAGGGCCCAAGCGUUGUUCGGAUUCACUGGGCGUAAAGGGUGCGCAGGUGGUCGGGUAAGUCUGACGUGAAAUCCCGCAGCUUAACUGCGGAAUGGCAUUGGAUACUAUCCGGCUAGAGGGUUGGAGGGGGGACUGGAAUUCUCGGUGUAGCAGUGAAAUGCGUAGAUAUCGAGAGGAACGCCAGUGGCGAAGGCGAGUCCCUGGACAACUCCUGACGCUGAGGCACGAAAGCUAGGGGAGCAAACGGG